rnacentral:lncRNA from 10 species
GAUUCCCCUCACAGAUAUUUUCCUGUCUCUUCUGAAGGGCCAGUCUUCUCGGGAGUUGAAGAAACUUGGUAUGGUUAACAGGACAAACGACUGCCACUACAGCUGGACAUAAGGAUGCAACUGAUACCCAUUAUCUACCUCCUAGACUAUCCAUUCUGGAUUUCCCCACCCUUAACUAUGAGCUCUGCUGUCUUGGUGGCUAAUGUCCUGGUGUGAUGCAGACCAUCCGUAAAGGAUCUGAGCCCUUGGUCACCAUGUCCUUCUCAGUGGGAGUUGCUGAACUUACCCACUUGCCAAUAGAGAUGAGCAAAGGAGUGCCCAAAAGCACCUAUGUGGAUCACUUGGCAUGUGUGUCUUAACUGAAGCCUCCAGUUGCAUCUUGCUCAUCCAGUCCAACUCAUCCAGCCUGAUUAGCACAGUAUCAUCGAGCUACUGAAUCCAUGUGAUGUUUUGUAAACGAAGAUUGCUUCAGACUCUGUCAUGAUGGAGGGCAUAAAAGAACACAACCCGGGACAACACUGUAAAACUAUGUUAGUGUAUCACUGCCCAUUCCAUGUGCAUGUGAACUCUUUAUGAUCCUCUUUUUGAUCAGAAUAGAAAGAACAUAUUCACCAAAUUAGGAGCUGCAUACGAUGUAUCUGAGGCCAUGUUAAUCUGCCGUAGCAAAGAGGCCAGAACAGGCACAGGAGCUGCAAUUAGGGAUAGUAGUGGGUUGGCUUUGGGGUAGUCUACUGUUAUCCUCCCAGAAUCUGGGUUCUUCCGGCACAAGACUGGUGACUUCAAUGAAGAAGUGAUGGGCAUCUCCCCGCUACCCACUCACUCAUUCUCUAGAUUAGGGCUGGCAAGCUAUGAGCUGACCUGUUUUAUAAAUAAAAGUUUUUUGG